UUCUAACCGUAAACGAUGCCAACUAGCGAUCAGCGGGGGUUGCUAAAUGACUCUGCUGGAAGCUUCCGGGAAACCAAAGUGCUUGGGUUCCGGGGGAAGUAUGGUUGCAAAGCUGAAACUUAAAGGAAUUGACGGAAGGGCACCACCAGGAGUGGAGCCUGCGGCUUAAUUUGACUCAACGCGGGGAAACUCACCCGGCCCGGACACCGUAAGGAUUGACAGAUUGAUAGCUCUUUCUUGAUUCGGUGGGUGGUGGUGCAUGGCCGUUCUUAGUUGGUGGAGCGAUUUGUCUGGUUAAUUCCGAUAACGAACGAGACUCUAGCCUACUAAAUAGUGUACGGAUUCGAGUCCGAUUCACUUCUUAGAGGGACAAGGGGUAUCUAGCCCCACGAGAUUGAGCAAUAACAGGUCUGUGAUGCCCUUAGAUGUCCGGGGCUGCACGCGCGCUACACUGAAGGAGUCAACGUGCAUUGUGACCUAGCCUGGAAAGGCCGGGUAACCCAGUGAAACUCCUUCGUGAUUGGGAUAGGGAAUUGUAAUUAUUUCCCUUGAACGAGGAAUUCCUAGUAAGUGCGGGUCAUCAGCUCGCGUUG
rnacentral:rRNA from 1 species